AGCUUGUCUGCCAGCUGAAGACCUCGAGGGACCUCAGUCAGCACGAUGUGGAACAGAAUUGCCCAAUGUCUGCGAACUACCACCAUCACGUCUGGAAAAAAGCGACUUCACACUAAUACAGCAGAGGAAAACCAUAGGUUGGCCAAAAACGGAACAGAAUUUACAAGGGAAAACGAAGGUUCCUGGAGUGAUAUGGUGAGUAGUUUCUAACCCAGAAAAGUAAGACUUAAGCAUGGAUUUUAAAUGUUAAGCUCGAGUAGGUAGAUAACUAAAGUUAAUCUCUUUAAGCCUC
rnacentral:lncRNA from 1 species